AAGAGGUGUUGAAGAGGUUUGCUAAUCUCAUUCCCUAGCAUUCACAUAACACGCGAUCAAAUUGACUUUAGAUAAUGCUGCCGAGUUGAAGUCUGGACUAAUUACACACUAUAGAUGUUGUCAGAAGAAUAAACUAAAGAUAAAGCAACAAUUUCCUGUUUGCGACCCCUCUCCAAGAUGAAGAAGAGCCCUUGUACAACACAUUGUAAUAAUGUCAAGCUGUUGACUGACUUCAUACUACGUCGAUUUGUUAAUUGUUUUCAUCUCUAGAAUUCAUUAUACAUGUGAGUUUUUAGACGAAUGAUAAAGAGAAUGCAACAAUUGCCUGCUGGCAAGCUAUCUCGGAGAUGAAAAACGGCCCUUUAAGCUGUUCACUGACUUUAUAGUACGCCGGUAAGCAGUGGUGUAUUUUUUGUAUAAUUCCCAGUCUCUUCUCCUCAGAGUCUAUAUAGUGUUGAAAUUUGGGACAUCCAUUUAACACACUCUAAUGCGCUGAAACAACACACAAUCAUACUGUUUUUCUGUAUAUCUUUGUGUACCGUACUUAUUCGAUUUAAAGCGACCCUCCAAAUAUGCGACACCCUCGAUCUUUUCCAAUUUUCUGACCUCUAAAAAUAGCGAUUGCAGCGUUCACAAUUAUUUUUUUAUGUCGCGUCCUAAAUAGAGGUCAAACCACAGCCUCGAAUCCAGGCCGCAAGAAACAAUGUAAUUAAGCGGCCUAUAAUCGAGGACUAGAAUAAUCUCCAAUUAGAUGCGACUCUCUAAAUAUGCGACACCAGGACUUCAACAUAAUUUUUCAACCUCCAAAAGAAACGACCUCUGACUUCGUAAUUAUUUAAAAGUGUCACUUUAAAUCGAACAAGUACGGCAUCUGCACAAAAACAAGACAAAUAUAAAUACAUGCAUGCGACUGUGGGGAUGUGAAGACACGGACAUGAUAAUGAGAGACAUAUUAUAUAAUAAUUAUAGCUGAACAAUUAAUAUCUUGUUGUUUUCUUGUCUUCUUUGUCUUUGAAUUGUGACCUUUGAAGCAU